GCUUGAGUCACAUUUUUGCAUGGUUCUUGAUUGACUUUCUGGUGCUCUGCCUGGAGGUCUUUGCUUAUCUGUGAGUUGCCUGAGUCACAUUUUUACAUGGUUCUGGUGCUCUGCCUGCAGGUCAAGAAGGAGCCAGUAUCUCCAGGAGGAGUGAGAGAGUGCUCUGCCAGUGUGAAGUGUGAAUCCUUGAGAGGCUGUGGCAAGGGUCCAUGCCUGAAUGUGUAGAACAAGAACAGCUGGAGGCUGUGGCUUUCUCCAGGAAGAGGUUUCUAAAUCUGCCUCUUAGAAGAUAUCAGAAAGUUAAAGAUAUCAGGUGGCUUCUUCAAAUGAUUUUUAAGUAUCUCGAUGAUGAUGAAGAACAAAGACAUCAAUCAGGAUUCAGGAAGACAGCUUUUGCGGAAAAUGCUUAAAGGGAAGCAUCAAGGAUUGGUGUUGAUAUUUGAAAGUUUAAGAGUGGUAUACUUUUAUUCAGUCAACACAUGACAAAUGUAAAAGGCACUCAUUUGUUGUUCCUGGAAGAAGCCUGGCAGCAUUCCAUUCAGACAUCUGCCCUUUCAUCGUCCCACUUUUUACUUAUUGCAGUCCUUUCAGUCUGAAUAUUUCCUCCUGACGCAUCUUCUGCCGUCCGAAAUGACUCCCUGCUCCCAGAUCCUGUAGCCCUUAUUAUUGACACCUUUCAUUUAGAAAUUUAGCACAUGUCACAUUACACCAUUAUUGAAUAAAUAAUGAAUAAAUAAAUAAAUAAAGAUGUAUGUCCUUCCCAAGUAUAUCAGA
rnacentral:lncRNA from 10 species